UUUAAAACCGGAGUGAGUAGCUUUUUUCACACUGUAUUUUUCAAUAUUAACUUUAAGUUCUCAAAGAUACUAAAUAUACACAUGUAAAACACCUGUAAAUACAAAUUGAGUUUGAUGGGCAGUGACGACUCCUUUGAACUUGAAUUCAUUCUCUUCGAUGCAAGGGCACAACAGCUAAUUGGGAAACCAUGCAAGCAAUUGCAGAUGUUCUUUGACAAAUCUGAUACACCUCCUGAAAUCUUAUUCUUAAUUGGCCAAAAACAUACAUUCAUAGUCAAAAUGCCUGUAAAAAGUGUGGAGCGAAAGGUUCCAUCUUUCGAGGUACUGUACAUCAAAGAACAAUUUAGCAAGCAAACAAGAAUUCCUACUAUUCGACAAGAUAUGCAUACAAUUAUAGCUACACUAGCAGCAGAAAUACAAAUGCCAAUAUCAAAAAGUCAACGCCCAAUGGUUUCAUUCAAAUCAUUUGCUGCUAAAUCAAAUAACUCUUGCAUACAUGUAAUUAUAUUUCGUUUACUAGACUACAUUCAAAAUAUAUAUUAUUCCAAAUUAUAUAACUAAUAUAUAGUCAUAUAAAAAUAAUGCAGGAAAGCUCAAAGCAACUAGCUCAAUUGCAACUUGAAGAUAGCAGAAUGGAUAUUGAACCAACAGGAAAACAAGCUGAAACAAACGUUACACGCUCCAAAAGGUCAUAUGAUUCUACUAUGAAAGAUUCAGAAGAUGAUGAUGCUGCCCUUCCUACUAAUGGCAAAAAGACCAAACACUAACAAACUCAAGGGCCUGAUGCAUCUAACACUCAAGCACCGGUCUCAACAAUUGAAGCUUUAACAACUUUUGGUGUGUUAGAGCCUUUACCUUUUGUAACAAAAAGCUUUAGGCAGCAGCUACUGUUAUUUUGAUGUAUAUAUAGCAAUGCUACUUAUUUUCAGCUGAUAUAUUUAGCACUCACGCACCGGUCUCGACGAUUCUGGUGCAUAACAGCCUUUACCUUUUGUAACAAAAAGUUUUAUGCAGCAGCUACUGUCAUUUUGAUGUAUAUAUAUCAAUGCUACUCCAAAGUGUGGGGUAGUGGUGUGCAAAUGUGGUCUUAUAUGUAUCUAGCAAUUUAUCUUCCACUGUACUGUACUAUUAAGUAUAUAACAACUUAUACACUUUAUCUA